AUGAACGCUGGCGGCGUGCCUAAUACAUGCAAGUCGAGCGAACAGACGAGGAGCUUGCUCCUCUGACGUUAGCGGCGGACGGGUGAGUAACACGUGGAUAACCUACCUAUAAGACUGGGAUAACUUCGGGAAACCGGAGCUAAUACCGGAUAAUAUAUUGAACCGCAUGGUUCAAUAGUGAAAGACGGUUUUGCUGUCACUUAUAGAUGGAUCCGCGCCGCAUUAGCUAGUUGGUAAGGUAACGGCUUACCAAGGCAACGAUGCGUAGCCGACCUGAGAGGGUGAUCGGCCACACUGGAACUGAGACACGGUCCGGACUCCUACGGGAGGCAGCAGUAGGGAAUCUUCCGCAAUGGGCGAAAGCCUGACGGAGCAACGCCGCGUGAGUGAUGAAGGUCUUCGGAUCGUAAAACUCUGUUAUUAGGGAAGAACAAAUGUGUAAGUAACUAUGCACGUCUUGACGGUACCUAAUCAGAAAGCCACGGCUAACUACGUG
rnacentral:rRNA from 1 species